GACCCACUUUUGACAAAAGAUUUUGGAAUGAAGAAUGCAUCUUCUCUACUUCUAAACCCAUGAAAACUUCUUCCUAUACCUUGCGUCCAAUUGAGAGAGUAUGCUAAUUUCGAUCACGAAUGAUUAAACAGGUAAGUAAGAUUGCUUGAGAUUUACCUCUAGAUUUACAUUUUUUUUUUCUUUUAAAUCAGUUCUGGUGAACAGAAAAUUAGCAACUCAUCACUAAUUUCUAUAUUUUAGUAAUGAUUAGUAUUUAGGACUUGGUAAUAUUUUGUAUUGCGAGCAUAAGAAUUGCCGGUUGUACCGCGCAUUUGCCGCGUCAAAUUUUCCGUGAAAAUCAUCUAUUAUGAAAAUCUUGAUCGAGCUCUGUUUUGGGGGAGAAAUUCGAGUUGGAAGUUGUUCUGAGGAAGCCUCCGGAAAAUUCAAGUUCUCUCUCUCGCGAGCUUCUCCCGCGCAAUUGGGGGCAAAGCAAGAAGUCCGACUGAGGGAAACUAGCAGAACCCGAAUUCUCCAGCUCAAUCGUUCCUCUCCACUCUUCAGCGGAGGCCAUGAAGAAGGCAAUGGGCCUCGUUCUCAAGGAGUCUUCCUCUGGUGGUGCACGCAAAUUGCAGACCUCACCUUCCACACUGGGACAGACAACAGAGUCGCAUCUUUGUGAUGGUCUUGCCAGAAGCUGUCUGCAUAACUUCUUGAGAGGACGAAACCUCAAAUUUGAUUAGGCGAAGAAAAAGGAGAAGGAAUAAGAAGAGUAAAAGGAGAACCCCAAACUUAUGAAAAGUCAUUCUCAUUCCUUUCUUGGAUACAAAAUAAGUUGUUCUGAUUCAGAUAAUUUGCAGAGUUGAGAUUUAGCAAAGAUCGCCAACUCUCUGGGUGCUGGAGCCUCUAUUGAGAUAGAGUGUUCAUAGUAGGUGUAGCUGAAUCAUGUAAUGGAUUGUAAGAUUACUCGCUAAAUGCGAGCCUUGGACUAUUGCCAUGUAUUAUCUUGCAGGUUGUAUGAUUACUAAAAUAAUCAAAAUGGAUAGCCAUCACUGAUCUCAAUAUGAAGACCUUACUUGUUUUGAGCGAAGAAUGUGGUAAUCAGUCUUUGAAGAAAAUGGUUUUAAAAGAUUGUAGACCAGGGGAAAAAAUCAAGAUGAUCUUAUGAAAGAGGUCUGCUUAAAACAUGGGUCCAUGACCAUGGGUAUUUGAGUUGAUUGAAACAUUUACUAGACUUAUGGGCCGCUCUGAUCAUGCAUGAGUAUGGAGGAAGUCGGAUGACUUAUUUUGUGUUUUCAUUGGAUCUACAGUGGCUUGGGGUCUGUACGUAAGCCUUUCAUUUGGUACCCGGAUGAGCAGAUUACAUCUUGUUAGGAUUCAAUUGGAUCAGCAACUGAGAGAUGUCACACCACGUAGAUGACCAUAACACAUUCAUUUAAAGUUCAUUGUACAUCUAACUGCUGUUUUUCAAGUUGUGCAUCAGAAAGUUUGCUCUUAAGUUUAAAUGUAAGUGUAAAUGACUACAUGUACGCCAGAAGGUACAAAAAGCUGAGUCUGAUAUACCAUUUUGACGGCUGAUGAUGUUGUAACUUAUUUGACUAAGAGAACAACUUUGUAAUGCUCAUAAUUGCUUUUCAUGAUUUACCUGUGCACUGGAUAUCAAUAUCUGGUGCAAUAUCUCCCAAGAGGUUGGCUGUGGAAGAUG